rfam:Medicago truncatula strain A17 chromosome 7, whole genome shotgun sequence.
AAACAGCCCCCUAUGUUUUGAUUCUUUUGCAGUUUUGGACCCCCAAGGCAAAAAAAUUUUUUUUUGACAUGUGGCACCUCACUUAGAGUGCCACGUCAUCGUUGACCGAGUCAACAAUGGACUGGGGGUCCAAAACUGCCAAAGAAUCAAAACAUAGGGGGCUGUUU